UCUACGGGAGGCAGCAGUGGGGAAUAUUGGACAAUGGGCGCAAGCCUGAUCCAGCCAUGCCGCGUGUGUGAAGAAGGCCUUUUGGUUGUAAAGCACUUUAAGCGAGGAGGAGGCUACUUGGAUUAAUACUCUAGGAUAGUGGACGUUACUCGCAGAAUAAGCACCGGCUAACUCUGUGCCAGCAGCCGCGGUAAUACAGAGGGUGCGAGCGUUAAUCGGAUUUACUGGGCGUAAAGCGUGCGUAGGCGGCUUCUUAAGUCGGAUGUGAAAUCCCUGAGCUUAACUUAGGAAUUGCAUUCGAUACUGGGAAGCUAGAGUAUGGGAGAGGAUGGUAGAAUUCCAGGUGUAGCGGUGAAAUGCGUAGAGAUCUGGAGGAAUACCGAUGGCGAAGGCAGCCAUCUGGCCUAAUACUGACGCUGAGGUACGAAAGCAUGGGGAGCAAACAGGAUUAGAUACCCUGGUAGUCCAUGCCGUAAACGAUGUCUACUAGCUGUUGGGGCCUUUGAGGCUUUAGUGGCGCAGCUAACGCGAUAAGUAGACCGCCUGGGGAGUACGGUCGCAAGACUAAAACUCAAAUGAAUUGACGGA
rnacentral:rRNA from 1 species